UACGGAGGGGGCUAGCGUUGUUCGGAAUUACUGGGCGUAAAGCGCACGUAGGCGGCUUUGUAAGUUAGAGGUGAAAGCCCGGGGCUCAACUCCGGAAUUGCCUUUAAGACUGCAUCGCUAGAAUUGUGGAGAGGUAAGUGGAAUUCCGAGUGUAGAGGUGAAAUUCGUAGAUAUUCGGAAGAACACCAGUGGCGAAGGCGACUUACUGGACACAUAUUGACGCUGAGGUGCGAAAGCGGGGGGAGCAAACAGG
rnacentral:rRNA from 1 species